CCUCUUAAUGAUUCCUGUGUCUCCGGCUUUUAGAACUGAAGCAGUUAUAAGAAUAUAGACAUAUUCCACUCAGUCGGAGUGUUCAUAAAGCGAUAUUAAGCACCAUACUAUAUCUCAGCAACAUGCAUAUGUUUGAAUGGAGUUCAUGAAAGGUCUUUGAGGAAUCAUCACACUGUCUUCCACAAUGGUUGAGUGAAUUUACACUUCCAGCAAUAGUGU
rnacentral:lncRNA from 1 species